UCCAGACUCCUACGGGAGGCAGCAGUGGGGAAUAUUGCACAAUGGGGGAAACCCUGAUGCAGCGACGCCGCGUGAGUGAAGAAGUAUUUCGGUAUGUAAAGCUCUAUCAGCAGGGAAGAAAAUGACGGUACCUGACUAAGAAGCCCCGGCUAACUACGUGCCAGCAGCCGCGGUAAUACGUAGGGGGCAAGCGUUAUCCGGAUUUACUGGGUGUAAAGGGAGCGUAGACGGCAUGGCAAGUCAGAUGUGAAAGCCCGGGGCUCAACCCCGGGACUGCAUUUGAAACUGUCAGGCUGGAGUGCAGGAGAGGUAAGUGGAAUUCCUAGUGUAGCGGUGAAAUGCGUAGAUAUCAGGAGGAACACCGGUGGCGAAGGCGGCCUGCUGGACUGCGACUGACGUUGAGGCCCGAAAGCGUGGGGAGCAAACAGGAUUAGAUACCCGGGUAAU
rnacentral:rRNA from 1 species